rnacentral:tRNA from 2 species
GGUACCAUAGCUCAGUUGGUAGAGCAAUGGACUGAAAAUCCAUGUGUCCCUGGUUCAAAUCCAGGUGGUACCACAA